UAGGGAAUAUUAGUAAUGGGCGCAAGCCUGAACUAGCAACGCCGCGUGUGCGAAGAAGGCCUUCGGGUUGUAAAGCACUUUUUGAGAGGAUGAGGAAGGACGGUACUCUCAGAAUAAGUCUCGGCUAACUACGUGCCAGCAGCCGCGGUAACACGUAGGAGGCGAACGUUAUCCGGAUUUACUGGGCGUAAAGCGCGUGUAGGUGGUUUGGUAAGUAGGGCGUGAAAGCUCCUGGCUCAACUGGGAGAGGCCGUUCUAAACUGCCGAACUAGAGGAUGGUAGAGGGAGGUGGAAUUCCGGGUGUGGCGGUGGAAUGCGCAGAUAUCCGGAGGAACACCAGUGGCGAAAGCGGCCUCCUGGACCAUUCCCGACACUCAGACGCGAAAGCUAGGGUAGCAAACGG
rnacentral:rRNA from 1 species